CAGUCGCCACGGUAAUACGUAGGUCCCGAGCGUUGUCCGGAUUUAUUGGGCGUAAAGCGAGCGCAGGCGGUUAGAUAAGUCUGAAGUGAAAGGCAGUGGCUCAACCAUUGUAGGCUUUGGGAACUGUUUAACUUGAGUGCAAGAGGGGAGAGUGGAAUUCCAUGUGUAGCGGUGAAAUGCGUAGAUAUAUGGAGGAACACCGGUGGCGAAAGCGGCUCUCUGGUCUGUAACUGACGCUGAGGCUCGAAAGCGUGGGGAGCGAACAGGAUUAGAUACCCCCGUAGUCCCUGUCUCUUAUACA
rnacentral:rRNA from 1 species